GCCGAAUGUGGGAAAAAUAAAGAGGAAAGAUAUUUUGAGGAUUUCGACCAAGGAGAAAACUCAGAAUCUAAGGUAGAAAAAAAAGGGCUCUUUGAUAUUUGGCCUUGGUGAUUCUAAUUGAAGCUCAAGAGCAUAGAGGGGCAAAUUCGGAUAAGGGAAAAGAGAAAGUAAUCGAAUAGCCGUUGUAAUCGUUCGGUAACAUUCGAGAUCGUUGACUCUUACUAUUAGCUCGGGA